rnacentral:piRNA from 1 species
UACUUAGAGCAUUCCGUAAAGACGACAUA